rnacentral:rRNA from 1 species
AGUGAACGCUGGCGGUAGGCCUAACACAUGCAAGUCGAACGGCAGCACAGUAAGAGCUUGCUCUUACGGGUGGCGAGUGGCGGACGGGUGAGGAAUACAUCGGAAUCUACUUUUUCGUGGGGGAUAACGUAGGGAAACUUACGCUAAUACCGCAUACGACCUACGGGUGAAAGCAGGGGAUCUUCGGACCUUGCGCGAUUGAAUGAGCCGAUGUCGGAUUAGCUAGUUGGCGGGGUAAAGGCCCACCAAGGCGACGAUCUGUAGCUGGUCUGAGAGGAUGAUCAGCCACACUGGAACUGGGACACGGUCCAGACUCCUACGGGAGGCAGCAGUGGGGAAUAUUGGACAAUGGGCGCAAGCCUGAUCCAGCCAUACCGCGUGGGUGAAGAAGGCCUUCGGGUUGUAAAGCCCUUUUGUUGGGAAAGAAAAGCAGCAGGUUAAUACCCCGCUGUUCUGACGGUACCCAAAGAAUAAGCACCGGCUAACUUCGUG